UAGUGACCGAUAGUGAACCAGUACCGUGAGGGAAAGGUGAAAAGAACCCCGGGAGGGGAGUGAAAGAGAACCUGAAACCAUAUGCCUACAAGAAGUCAGAGCCCGUUAAAGGGUGAUGGCGUGCCUUUUGUAGAAUGAACCGGCGAGUUACUGUAUGGAGCGAGGUUAAGCAGGAUAUGCGGAGCCGAAGCGAAAGCGAGUCUUAAGAGGGCGAAAGUUGCAUGCAGUAGACCCGAAACCGGGUGAUCUAGCCAUGACCAGGUUGAAGUUGGGGUAAAACCCGAUGGAGGACCGAACCGACCCCCGUUGAAACGUUGGCGGAUGAGUUGUGGCUAGGGGUGAAAUUCCAAUCGAACCCGGAGAUAGCUGGUUCUCCCCGAAAUAGCUUUAGGGCUAGCGUCGAGGUAGAGAGUUGCGUGAAGGUAGAGCACUGAAUAUGUGAUGGCCCCAUCUCGGGGUACUGAGCAUAAUCAAACUGCGAAUGUCACGGAAACAUACUCGGCAGUCAGACAGCGGGUGAUAAGGUCCGUUGUCAAGAGGGAAACAGCCCAGACCAUCAGCUAAGGUCCCAAAAUGUAUGCUAAGUGGAAAAGGAUGUGGAGAUGUACAGACAACUAGGAGGUUGGCUCAGAAGCAGCCAUCCUUUAAAGAGUGCGUAACAGCUCACUAGUCGAAUGACUCUGCGCCGAUAAUUUACCGGGGCUAAGCAUACUACCGAAGCUAUGGAUCCCAAGGGAUGGUAGGGGAGCGUUCCAUGAACGGAGAAGCGCGAUCGAGAGGACGCGUGGAGAUCAUGGAAGAGAGAAUGCCGGUGUGAGUAGCGGAACGUGGGUGAGAAUCCCACGCACCGAAAACCCAAGGUUUCCAGAGGAAGGUUCGUCCGCUCUGGGUAAGUCGGGACCUAAGGCGAGGCCGAGAGGCGUAGUCGAUGGACAACAGGUAGAGAUUCCUGUACUCAUAUAUAUGUGAAGGAAUGACGGAGAGAGGAAGCUGCAGCCAGCGGCUGGAAGAGCUGGUGCAAGCGAGAUAUCGGGAUGGCAGGCAAAUCCACCAUCCGAAACGAGAAGGCGUGAAGCGUACGGAAAGCUAAGGCGAGUACGGAAGGCAGUGGAGGAGCUUCCAAGAAAAGUUUCUAACGAAAGUAUAUGUGACCCGUACCGAAAAUGGACACACAUGGGUGAGGAGAGAAUCCUAAGGUGAGCGAGAGAACUAUAGCUAAGGAACUCUGCAAAAUGACUCCGUAACUUAGGGAGAAGGAGUGCUCAUAGAGAUAUGAGCCGCAGUGAAACGGCCCAAGCGACUGUUUACCAAAAACACAGCUCUCUGCUAAGCCGCAAGGCGAAGUAUAGGGGGUGACGCCUGCCCGGUGCUGGAAGGUUAAGGGGAGGGGUUAACGCAAGUGAAGCCCUGAACUGAAGCCCCAGUAAACGGCGGCCGUAACUAUAACGGUCCUAAGGUAGCGAAAUUCCUUGUCAGGUAAGUUCUGACCCGCAUGAAAGGCGUAAUGAUUUGGGCACUGUCUCAACAGCCCGCCCGGCGAAAUUGUAGUACCGGUGAAGAUGCCGGUUACCCGCGACUAGACGGAAAGACCCCAUGGAGCUUCACUGCAGGUUGAUAUUGGGAUUUGAUGCAGCAUGUACAGGAUAGGUAGGAGGCAAAGAGAUGGAUACGCCAGUAUUCAAGGAGCCGCUGUUGGGAUACUACCCCUGUUGUAUUGGAUUUCUAACCGGACGACGUAAAGCCGUUGACGGGACAGUGUCAGUCGGGCAGUUUGACUGGGGCGGUCGCCUCCCAAAGAGUAACGGAGGCGCCCAAAGAUACCCUCAGCUUGGAUGGAAACCAAGCGCAGAGUGCAAAGGCAAAAGGGUGUUUGACUGCGAGACCCACAAGUCGAGCAGGGACGAAAGUCGGGCUUAGUGAUCCGGCGGUGCUGAAUGGAAAGGCCGUCGCUCAACGGAUAAAAGCUACCCUGGGGAUAACAGGCUGAUCUCCCCCAAGAGU
rnacentral:rRNA from 1 species